rnacentral:rRNA from 1 species
UACAGAGGUCUCAAGCGUUGUUCGGAUUCAUUGGGCGUAAAGGGUGCGUAGGUGGCAUGGUAAGUCGGAUGUGAAAUCCCGGGGCUCAACCCCGGAACUGCAUUCGAUACUGCUGCGCUAGAGUACUGGAGAGGAGAUUGGAAUUUACGGUGUAGCAGUGAAAUGCGUAGAUAUCGUAAGGAAGACCAGUGGCGAAGGCGGAUCUCUGGACAGUUACUGACACUGAGGCACGGAAGGCC